rnacentral:lncRNA from 1 species
CACAUAACUAAACUUUUUUUCUUGUGUUAAUCUGUUGCUUGUCAGUUUAGUUGACAGGCCCCAGUCAUGGAACAUAAGAGGCACUCCUGCAGCCUUCUUCACAGAGGCUCCCUAACUUUGCCAGACAUGCAGAACUCAGCAGAACGAGUGGAAAGAUCAGGAUUGCUCAUCAUCUCCUUGGCAGACAUCAUCAUGUUGUGAAGGUGAGUGAGAAAAGAGGCCCCAGUUGGAGGCAGGUGGAGGCGCGUGCAGCAGGCCAGGGUGCGCUUCUGUAGGGGGGCAGCUCUUCAUGGCCGUGGGUGGCUAUUGGGUACUGGAAAAUGCAAAAAACCAUUUAGUUAUUUCUUGUGUUUGGUUUAAAUCGGGUUCAGAAUCUCCUGUGUAAGAAAUGAAAGGGGGAUUUGCCUCAUGUCACUACUGUAUCCCACUCUUGCCAACUCUUUGGUGCUCAGCGAAAAUUGGGAGUCCCUCAUUGCCUGGAACAGCAGAGACACCAGGGGCUCAGGCAGCUGCACGAGCUUCCGGCCUCAGGAGAACGCUGUGCAGAAGCAGCCAUCUGAACCUCCGCCUGAAGGCCACACCCCAGCCCUCUUCUCUGGCCGGACAGAGUGUUGUCUGAGAGGUGCUCCCUGGGCAGCUGAGAGCAGUUCAAUGGACAGUUUCAUUGGUUUCUUGAUGCCAUCUCAAGAUGACGUUACCCAAAUCCUUUGGAACAUGCUUGGGACCGUGGAUUUAGGGACAUUAGUGAAGAGCCAGAGGCGGAGGGGCCUGGACCAAGGAGCUCGGCAAGUGAGGUAGGAUCUUCCCGCUGCCCCCUGGGCUCUGGACCAGACCUCAGAGCCAAUGUCUGGUCACGGUGGCCAUUCUAAGCUGCAUUCUGUUGCCCACCGGGCCAGUGGUGGCCAUGGGUGGUUUUGUUUGAUGGUUUGUCACUUGCCAUUUGUGCUGGGUGCGGUUAGGAGAGCUGGGCUGCCCGCCGUGGUGCUGCUGGACACCGCAGCUGCUGUGCCCUGGACGAGUGGCUGGCCUGGAGCAAGGUGCUUCGAGCGUGAAACACACCCAAUGGGAAGACUUAGCACAGAUAACGAGACAGCAGAUUAGUCACUUGCUGUAUGCAUUCCGUGGUGAGAUGGUAACGUUUUACAUAGGCCUGUGUAAACGUGUCACUCAUUUUAUGUUUCCUUUUACUUUUCAAACGGGGGCAGCUACUGGAAAACUUAAAAGUUGGGGGUGCCCACACGGAAUGGGAGAAGAUAUUUGCAAAUGACACUACAGAUAAAGGACUGGUAUCCAAGAUCUACAAAGAACUUCUCAAACUCAAUACACGAGAAACAAAUAAACAAAUCAAAAAAUGGGCA